AUGGAGUCAGAGAGCCGUGUCUCUGUGCAGUCAGAGGUUUUUGUACGGCGGCUCAGUGACUUUGUAUCACUGUGGCUCACGUUUGGUGGAGGAACCAGACUGGAUGUUGGAAGUGAUGUGCGCCCCGCCCUGAAGGUGCUGGGUCCCUCCAGUGAGGAGCUGCAGCAGGGGAAGGCCACGCUCAUGUGUCUGGCCAACAAGGGCUUCCCCUCAGACUGGAGGCUGUCCUGGAAGAUGGACGGCAGCAGUGGCAGCAUCAGAGGGGAGGAGAGCAGGACUCCCGCAGUGCUGCACAAUGACGGCUGCUACAGCUGGAGCAGCACCCUGACACUCACUGCAGACCAGUGGGGGAAGGUGGGCUCUGUGAGCUGUGAGGCCACCCAGGGCUCCCAGGCUCUGGUCUCAGAGACACUGAGGAGAGACCAGUGUUCCCAGUCCUGAUGUGACUCACUGGGACUCUGAUCCUGUUUUUCUUCAUCUACUGCUCUCUGUGUGCUCCAACUCUCUCUGUCUCUUUCUUUCUUUUUCUUCUCACAUUAAAAGAAAAAAAUCAAAUCAUAAUAUUUUCCAUCUCAUAAGGAUAAAAAAAUGCUAAAAACAAUCUCCUCUAGUUUGAUCCUUUUGUGAUUGUUGUAAAACUGAUAUUUGAACUUUUCAAAAGAAUAAAAAUGUACUGAGUAAACAUGUUCUUUGACUCCCUGAGUUUAACAAAUAUCAAACAUUUUGUAAGAUUUAUUAAGCCGACCAAAAGAAAAAUGGCAGCAGAACACAUUGAGUGUAAUGUUGUGUAAAAUGGUUGAAUUCAUUCUUAUAUCCACAUUUAAUAUAUUUGAUAGAUGCUGAGGCCAUGUCAGUGGCAGAUUAACUCUAAUCUCUUCAUAAUUUCUAGUCUUGAAGCAGUUCUUUGACCUGCAUUUUAUUCUGACCAUGUGAAACAAUCUAUAAUAAAGAUUAAAGAGCAGAGAGUCAUCCCUAUCUUUAAGGAGAGAUCAUUUAAAACAAUUUAAGAUGAUUGAUCAAAGUCUGAUUAAUCAAUUAUUGGGCAAUAAAUGAUUAAACUGUGAUGGAGCCUCACAGCAGGCUGGAGUUUAGACACUGGUGUUGGCAGAGAUGAAGCAGGUGGAGACUUGAAUGAGGAUCUCUGAUUGUCCAGGAUGAGGUGGAGAUGGGGAGGAGGCGGGUCGCACCAAUGAGAGUUUGAAAGGCAGAAUGAAAGAAGAGCGCUGAGAUUUAAAGCACACAGAACAGAAGCUGAUUGGCUCGCAGAAGGAGGGCAAGAAGAUGAUUGGACUCAAGCAAUGAUGACAGAAUUGAUCCUGACAGUGGAAGUGAUGGUUUCA